rnacentral:rRNA from 1 species
GAUGAACGCUGGCGGCGUGCCUAAUACAUGCAAGUCGAGCGAACGGACGAGAAGCUUGCUUCUCUGACGUUAGCGGCGGACGGGUGAGUAACACGUGGAUAACCUACCUAUAAGACUGGGAUAACUUCGGGAAACCGGAGCUAAUACCGGAUAAUAUUUUGAACCGCAUGGUUCAAAAGUGAAAGACGGUUUUGCUGUCACUUAUAGAUGGAUCCGCGCUGCAUUAGCUAGUUGGUAAGGUAACGGCUUACCAAGGCCACGAUGCAUAGCCGACCUGAGAGGGUGAUCGGCCACACUGGAACUGAGACACGGUCCAGACUCCUACGGGAGGCAGCAGUAGGGAAUCUUCCGCAAUGGGCGAAAGCCUGACGGAGCAACGCCGCGUGAGUGAUGAAGGUCUUCGGAUCGUAAAACUCUGUUAUUAGGGAAGAACAUAUGUGUAAGUAACUGUGCACAUCUUGACGGUACCUAAUCAGAAAGCCACGGCUAACUACGUG